CAAGUAGUAAAAAACAGUUUUUUUAAAACAUACCGUAAAUUUGCGGAGAUUUGAUGCUUCUGAACGCCGAGUCCAUGGCGUCUUGGUAAGGACGUCUGAAUCAGUCUGGUUACAUCCUUUCCAAAGCAUGCUCAUCAAACCGUCUUCCCAAUAUGCUGCUUCAAGACGUAUUCACAACAUGUAGGCGGGCCUUCCAAAGUGGGAUGUGCCCUCCAUUUUCAUAGGCUGCCUGUGUCUUCAUAUAAAUGGCCCUGCAACUCAACAACUACAGUCCCGGAGGAGAUUGGACGCUGAAGAGAAGAGUAGACGCGGCAAACAACUUGUUCUCAUUAUACUUUGGAUCGCUGAAAACAAAAGGAAACAAUGAAACCUUGCCCGUUGUGCAGAGACAGCUACGCCAAUAGACCGCAGCAUCUCUGGGAUUUUCACUGUGUGACUGAUGGCACAGAACGCAGGCUCCUGCUGGGAAUGGCUUCUGGAAGAAAGAGGACAUCAAAUUGAUCCUGGAGGAGUCGAGAAGGAAAGAAAUAGCUUCACAACUGUCUGCCCUCAGGGAAACAAAACAAGCAGGUUCAGCCAGCCAGCCCCGCGCCCGAAAG